UACAGAGGUCCCAAGCGUUGUUCGGAUUCAUUGGGCGUAAAGGGUGCGUAGGUGGCGUGGUAAGUCGGGUGUGAAAUCCCGGGGCUCAACCCCGGGACUGCAUUCGAUACUGCCGUGCUUGAGGACUGGAGAGGAGACUGGAAUUUACGGUGUAGCAGUGAAAUGCGUAGAGAUCAUGAGGAAGACCAGUGGCGAAGGCGGGUCUCUGGACAGUUCCUGACACUGAGGCACGAAGGCCAGGGGAGCAAACGGG
rnacentral:rRNA from 1 species